UCCUAAUUCUGUUACAUAAUUUCAGUUGAAGUUCUAUAUAUAAUUUCUAAUUUCAAUUUAGAUUAGUUUUUUGAUAUAUUUGAAAAAAUGGAAUACAAUCAUAUUAUUAAACUAACUUUUAUGUAAUUAAAAAUGAAAUUACCAAAGAAAAAAAAAGAUUUAACUAUCUAAAUUUUAUUUUGAAAUCCUACAAACUUAAAAUUUGAAAAUCCGCACCACUCCCAUCUAUUUCAAAAUUUGAAGACUGUACCUCUCCCAUUUCAAAUACUCCAUCUACUAACUUAUUUUGAAGACUCUAACGGUCCAUCUCUCCGGCGAAACUCGGCACCACCACCGUCGCUGAUUCUCCCCCUCUCUCAAUCCCACUCUCUUUCCCUCUCUAUUCUCACAAUUCCCAAAUUAGGAUGCAUCUCUCUUUCUCCCAAAAAUCUGACUCUCUCAUCUCCGGCGAAACUCGUCUCCAGCAUAUCACCACCGCAACUUCUCUCUCUCACUCACCCUGCUCUGGCCUCCACCUCCUGUCAGGUUGUGCGAAAUUUCUCAUUAAAAUUACCUAGAAACCCUACAUGAAAAAGCGGUGCCUCUAUCUCCCUCCUCCAACGGCACUGCACUCUCCCUCUCCAUCUCCAUCUCCUUUCUCUCUCAAUUGGCGGAAUCGACUCGUGUUUUCCCCACACCAAGAGUCAUAGCCCUCGCAGAUUUCACGCCCCCGGCCUGCUCGCCCGGAGAAGAAAGCCGAGGACGUGGCUGUCUCGGAGUUUGGUCCCCACCGCGGCUGCUACUCGCCAUCAUCAGACGCCGUCGUCUCCUGCAGCAGGUCGCUGGUCUGGAUUCGUGGGUGGCGUCGGGUGGCCCCUGACUCGCAGCCUUGCCGCCGCCGCCAGCUGCACGAACCCGUCGCCUUCCGCCCUUCCGUCGUGGGGGCGAACUUGUAGUGUGUGAUCAUGCGUGCAAAUUAAGCUAGAAAAAGUGUUUAUUUAAUUGUCUAGACGGGAUACAUGUCACCAUCGACCUCCUCAUGGACUCGCCGUCUGAUUUCGUUGCUGCUGAUUCUCGCCGAGCGGUGAGAGGCGCUCCAGGAUCCACUGAGCAGUCGCUUCGGUCGGUGUCAUACUCCAGCCAUCUCGGCUGCAUUGUCAUUAUCAAUUUUGUCGGACUGCCGUGGACUUCUCGGCUUAGGGAAGCUUUAGCAACAAUCUUUCUACUCCCUCUGGAGAGUUUGUAUCUGGCUGGUGCUUGGUUAACGUUCUAGUUUGUGAAGAGGAUGCACCAUUAGAUGUCCCUCGUUCAUCUUAUGCUCAUCAGAGAACGUCUUUGUUGAUUAAAGUGAUUGCAAACCUUGAUUGCUUUGUUCCUGAUGUAUACCAGGAUGAGAAGGAUUUGUUUCUCAACAUGUUCAUUUGGUUCAUAGAGAAGGACUAUUAGAAACUGUCAGAUGACAAAGUGUCCACAGUUAUGUUCACUACUAAGUCUUUAGUUCCAGGAUUUUUGAAUGAAGAUGAUGUACAACUGCUGAAGUAAUUUGAAUAUAUGCCUUCCUUCCAUGCUGAAAUCGGGUUAUUUGUAAGUCAGUUUGAGUUCUGAAUCGUUUGUGCUGCAUCGGAAGAUCAUUUAGUCCAUGAGCUUGGGAAGAGGUGGACUGCAGGAGCAACUAGCUUCCUAUAUUGGACUCCCGACCCUGAUGAAAAAAAGAAUACAUCAGUAGAGGUUUGCUUUCAGCAUUUUGGUAUGUGAGAAGGUACCAGGUUUGCAGCCGGUAGGAAAUCCGAGCUUUCAGCAUUUUGGUCUUUGAGGAUUCUGGAAAAACUUUCCGUUUGAGUCAGAUUGCAGAGCAAUCAUGCUGCUUUGAGGCUACUGAGAUAAUUCAGCAUAUUCUAGUGUUACUCGUAGUCGAUUUGAUGGCCUCUCUAAGCAUUUAGAUUCAUUCUUGCAAAUGUUAUCUCUUGUGCAACUAAGGUGUUUUCCGUGAUAGUUCCUAGUGCAUAAAUAGACUAGAGAGUACUUAGUCGAUCAGAAGGUCGAGGGUGGUAGGGGACUGAGUUCUUAACAUAAAAGAAACGGGUGGAAAGGGUGGAAAAUUGAAGGCACAAGUCUAUUUAUUGAUUUUUGUGUUAGCUUUGCUUGAUCUUCUGCCUCUUGGUUGUUGCACCUAUAUUUUUCUACUUAUUUAAUUCACUCUUUGCUACAUUUUGCAGAUUUAAAAUUAAUCUGUUAAAUAUAUGUUUUUGUGAGUUAUACAGUGCCUGACGUUUUUCUACUUUUUUCUAAUCCACUGUUUGCUGUCUUACUACUUUAUAAAUAACACAUACAUAGUAUCCUAUUUUUCUGUCUCAUAUGCCUGUACAAAUAUGUGCUAUAUUAGUGUUUCUCUGAUAUAUAAACUCCCAUUGAUUGUCAAAUCUUGGCAUCUUAAUAUCUGUUUUUACAGGCUCAUUCCCAAGUACUUACUAGACACAUUUCCUUUUUUACUUUGGCAUUAGGUUUGUUGUACUUGCAUCUAACAAAGAAAUCAUGGGCCUUGGAAGCUGGUUGAGCAGUCAAUUGGGUCUAUAACAAAUGUUUAUAGCAUUUACCGUACAAUAAGCAUUGCAAUAUCUGCACUUUGAGAAGAUUUUGCCUUUUAUACAUAUGCAGUUUUCAGUUUCUCAUUUUGCCCUACUGUUAACAUGGGCAAUUGUUUUGUAUAGGUUCUUGCAUUGCUGAAAAAAUGUUUGUUAUAGAUUCAAGAGAGUUAAAUGCUCCCUCCGAGGAAAGUUACCCGAAGGGCCAACUGGAACGUAAUACAAAGCGCUUGGCAGAUGUCGUCUCAGAUGCUUCAAAUUUUCAGUCAUUCAUUAUGAUAAAUUUGGAAGCUUUAGCAACAAUCUUUCUACUCCCUCUGGAGAGUUUGUAUCUGGCUGGUGCUCGUCUAACAUUCUAGUUUGUGAAGAGGAUGCACCAUUAAAAUGAGAAGGAUCUGUUUCUCAACAUGUUCAUUCGGGUCAUAGAGAAGGACUAUUAGAAACUGUCAGAUGGCAAAGUGUCCACAGUUAGCAAUAACUUGUGUUCACUGUUAUGUCAUGCAGAGUCUUUAGUUUCAGGAUUUUUGAAUGAAGAUGAUGUACAACUGCUGAGGGAAUACACUUCAUAAAAAGGAAUUUUAGUGCCAGAAAAGGAAGGUAGGAAGGUAAGACUGAUCUUGUAAAGAUGACAGGAAAGAUGGUAGUAUAUAUUUAAAGAAAACAAUUUAAUCGAUCACUCAAAAUUAAAUGUUGGAAUGUUUCGAAGAUGAUCUAAAUUGACAGAGUAUUAUGUUUUUUUAUUCUGAUAAAGAUAUAAUGGUAGAGGUUUGUUUUCAGCAUUUUGGUAUGCGACAAGGAACCAGUUUCCAGCAGGUGGGAAAUCCGAGCUUUUAUUGUAGUCGUCAAAUCCUGGGUCUUGUGAAUGUGCUUAUUUGUCUAAGUUGCUUGAGGGCGAGCAAGACUUCUGUUUGGGGGGUAUUUGAUGUGUGUGGUUAAUUUAACUUGUUAUUAUACAAUGAAGCUGCAACUAAUAUUUGUAUUUUUAUAAAUCUAACUUUAGUUCGAUAUUUAGUGUGUCAUUUCAUACUAAAGCCAUCAAUGAAGAACACUACUGCAAAAUCUUUCUGAUGCUCUACACUUGUCGGUACCUGAUAAAAUUAGGGUUGGACUUCUUUGUCUAAUUUUGAAGAACACGAUAUCUUCACGAUACCAGGAUGUGUGGUUAGUUAUUCUCUUCUUUGUACAUACAUUUAGAUAUAAUUUUUUGUUUAGUUGUAGGAAGUGGAAUACAUACAACAGUCUAUUAUUUUUGUAUCCUUGGAAUUCUUCUACCUGUUGCACUAAACCUAUAACCCUUUUCUUGGCUGUAUGCAGGAAAGAAUUUGUGUCUGAUUUAGAUUAUUGAGCUGUCUGCCAAUUCUGCUGCGUUUGAGGCUACUGAUAUAAUUUAGCAUAUUCUCGUGUCACUCUUAGUUGAUUUGAAGGCAUCUCUAAGCAUUUAGAUUCAUUCUACUUGAAGGCCUCUCUAAGCAUUUAGUUUCAUUUUUUCAAAAUGUUAUCUCUUGUGCAACUAAGGUGUUUUCUGUGAUAGUUCCUAGUGCAUAAAUAGAGUAGAAUGUACUUGGUCGAUCUGAAGGUCGGGGUGGUAGGUGGAGUUUUUAACUUAUAAGAAACGGGGGGAAGCUGUGGAAAACAAAAGGCAAAAGUCUAUUUAUUUGUUUUUUACCUUGCUUUGCGUGGUCUUCUGCUUCCUGGUUGUUGCGCCUAUAUUUUUAUAUUUAUUUUAUUUAUUAUUUGCUGCCUUUUGCAGCUAAUUAUUGAACUGUUACAUAUAUUAAAUUUUUGUUUGUUAUACUGUGACUGACGUUUUUCAUCUUUUUCUAAUCCACCUUUUGCUACCUUGCAGCAUAAUUAAUUAAUACAUACAUAGCAUCGUACUUUUCUUUGUCUAUGCCGUGUACAAAUAUGUGCAAUAUUAGUGUUUCUUUGAUAUGUAUACCCAUCGAUUGUCAAAUCUUGGCUUCUUAAUAUAUCUGUUAACUAGACACAUUUCCUUUUUUACUUUGGCAUUCAGUUUGCUGUACUUGCAUCUAAAAAGAAAUCAUGGGCCUUGGAAGCUGGUUGAGCACCCAAUUAGUGUCACGUAAAGAUACUUUCUAUGAGGAUCAGUCAUUAAACAUCAAUGUGUGACUCACCGUACAUAGGGUAUUGCUUUACGUGCUAUUUUAGAUGCUUUGAGAAAGCCUGCAGAUUCAGAAGUUUGUUCCUUCCUAGUUUAUCAGUUAAUGUUAUAGUGAAUUUCAGUUUUACCUUGGAUUUAUAACAUUCUGAUGUUUUCCUUUGAGAGUAUGGCAUUGGAGCAGUUUGUGGACCAUCUCAUUGAGUGGCCACAGUAUAGAGAGGGCACUCAACAGUAUUUCAGCGGCUUAUACCGAACCUGAUGGUGGCCAUAGUGCCAAUACUGCUCACCGACACGGUCAUAUUCAAUCUUAGCUCCACAUAUAGAGCAAUUCCCUCUUCGAUCCCACUGCAACAGAGACCACCAAGUUCUCUGAGUUCACUCCUAAUUACAUGAAGCCAUCACAACACACCUACCCUUCCUAAGGCA